AUAUUUACCUCCAAAAGGAAUACCAUGAUCAAGAUGGUGGUUUCCCCAGGAUCAAUCUCUUAAAUUGUACUUUUCAGUUGGGCUGACUCUCAUGAUUUCGCCAACUGUGGAAAACUCAGCUGUAUAACUUAUGGUAGUGGUGGACUGCCACUGUGCAGACCCCUA